UGGGUUGUGGCUCAGUGGUACAGCACUUGCCUAGCAUGCAUGAGGCACUGGGUUUGAUCCUCAGCACUAA
rnacentral:tRNA from 1 species